AGAGUUUGAUCCUGGCUCAGGAUGAACGCUAGCUAUAGGCUUAACACAUGCAAGUCGAGGGGAAACGGCAUUAUGUGCUUGCACAUUCUGGACGUCGACCGGCGCACGGGUGAGUAUCGCGUAUCCAACCUUCCCUCCACUCGGGGAUACCCCGUUGAAAGACGGCCUAAUACCCGAUGUUGUCCACAUAUGGCAUCUGACGUGGACCAAAGAUUCAUCGGUGGAGGAUGGGGAUGCGUCUGAUUAGCUUGUUGGUGCGGGUAACGGCCCACCAAGGCUACGAUCAGUAGGGGUUCUGAGAGGAAGGUCCCCCACAUUGGAACUGAGACACGGUCCAAACUCCUACGGGAGGCAGCAGUGAGGAAUAUUGGUCAAUGGACGUAAGUCUGAACCAGCCAAGUAGCGUGCAGGAUUGACGGCCCUAUGGGUUGUAAACUGCUUUUGUUGGGGAGUAAAGUGGGGCACGCGUGCCUUUUUGCAUUUACCCUUCGAAUAAGGACCGGCUAAUUCCGUGCCAGCAGCCGCGGUAAUACGGAAGGUCCAGGCGUUAUCCGGAUUUAUUGGGUUUAAAGGGAGUGUAGGCGGUCUGUUAAGCGUGUUGUGAAAUUUAGGUGCUCAACAUCUACCUUGCAGCGCGAACUGGCGGACUUGAGUGCACGCAACGUAUGCGGAAUUCAUGGUGUAGCGGUGAAAUGCUUAGAUAUCAUGACGAACUCCGAUUGCGAAGGCAGCGUACGGGAGUGUUACUGACGCUUAAGCUCGAAGGUGCGGGUAUCGAACAGGAUUAGAUACCCUGGUAGUCCGCACGGUAAACGAUGGAUGCCCGCUGUUAGCGCCUGGCGUUAGCGGCUAAGCGAAAGCAUUAAGCAUCCCACCUGGGGAGUACGCCGGCAACGGUGAAACUCAAAGGAAUUGACGGGGGCCCG
rnacentral:rRNA from 1 species